GUGGGGAAUAUUGGACAAUGGGCGAAAGCCUGAUCCAGCCAUGCCGCGUGUGUGAAGAAGGUCUUCGGAUUGUAAAGCACUUUAAGUUGGGAGGAAGGGCAGUAAGUUAAUACCUUGCUGUUUUGACGGUACCAACAGAAUAAGCACCGGCUAACUUCGUGCCAGCAGCCGCGGUAAUACGAAGGGUGCAAGCGUUAAUCGGAAUUACUGGGCGUAAAGGGCGCGUAGGUGGUUCAUCAAGUUGGAGGUGAAAUCCCCGGGCUCAACCUGGGAACUGCCUCCAAAACUACUGAGCUAGAGUACGGUAGAGGGUAGUGGAAUUUGCUGUGUAGCGGUGAAAUGCGUAGAUAUAGGAAGGAACACCAGUGGCGAAGGCGACUACCUGGACUGAUACUGACACUGAGGUGCGAAAGCGUGGGGAGCAAACAGGAUUAGAAACCCGUGUAGUCC
rnacentral:rRNA from 1 species